UACGUAGGGUCCGAGCGUUGUCCGGAAUUACUGGGCGUAAAGAGCUCGUAGGUGGUUUGUCGCGUUGUUCGUGAAAACUCACAGCUCAACUGUGGGCGUGCGGGCGAUACGGGCAGACUUGAGUACUGCAGGGGAGACUGGAAUUCCCGGUGUAGCGGUGGAAUGCGCAGAUAUCAGGAGGAACACCGGUGGCGAAGGCGGCUCUCUGGGCCUUACCUGACGCUGAGGAGCGAAAGCGUGGGUAGCGAACAGG
rnacentral:rRNA from 1 species